AUGGCACGUUACGGCACGACUGAAGCAAUAGAGAACAACCAGAAGUCAGAAAAGGAUGGUGCUCCUGCAGCCAUGCCCAUCACCGGCUGCUCUUUCCUGCACGUAUUCCAUGGAUCGAAUCCCAGACAACUACGUACGGCACCGCGGAACCUGUGGCCUUGUUUACGAGCCCUCUGCCCCGUGGCUUCGGGUCAAAGAUAUCCCUGGGCCUAUUCAUCCACCGUUGCCGCCCCGGAUCUCCCUGCAGAAACCGGUCAGGUUGCGAUUGGGCAGGAGGGCAUGGAAGUUUCAGGUCGUUCGUUACCUGACUCGACACGCCGCACACCUCGAUUAUUUUAG
rnacentral:rRNA from 1 species